GUCGGGCCUUACCCUCGGGACAUGCUGGCAGGAUUUGAUGUGCCUGACCAUGGCGAAUGUCUCUUGAGUGCGAUCAGACUGUUCCGAAUCCUGUUUUGACA